rnacentral:rRNA from 1 species
UACGAAGGGUGCAAGCGUUACUCGGAAUUACUGGCGUAAAGCGUGCGUAGGUGGUUGUUAAGUCUGAUGUGAAAGCCCUGGGCUCAACCUGGAAUGCAUUGAUACUGGCAGCUAGAGUGCGAUAGAGGAUGGCGAAAUUCCGGUGUAGCAGUGAAAAUGCGUAGAGAUCGGAGGAACAUCUGUGGCGAAGGCGGGACUCUGGCCGAGUACUGAACGCUG